AUGGCCGUGUAUUUCGACCCAGACCGUCAGUCGAAGAUAGACUACACAAAUAUCAAGAAAGUUCUUGAUGAUGUUCUCCUCGGCUAUGCCAGAUCUGGAGGCACCUUCAGCAGGCCAGUUCGUAAGUACGGCAAGCACAUCUUCAGCCACAAUACGACGUUCUCCUGCGUCAAGCAGCCGCCUGGCGGUCAGAAGGAUGCCUACUACGCCCUCCAUCACAUGCGGGCAAUCGUACGGGACCAUAAUCACCUUCUGCUACCAAAUAAUCUCAAAGAUUGGGCCGCACGCUUGUCGGCAAUCCAGGAUGCGGACAUCAGACAAGAAUUCUUUCGCAUCCAAUCGGAGUUUGCGGAAAUCAUCCAUCAAGAUGUCCUUCAUACCUCGGGGCAGUUCUAUCUCAGACAUCAACCGUCCAACAGUGAGAUAGAAACAACGCUACAAACGCAGGCUGACAACGCCCGCGAUUUCAUGACCAUCACGAAAGACGGCGGCUUCAUCCACGCUCCGGUCCCUGAGUCGAGUCGAAAGUAG
rnacentral:rRNA from 1 species